ACUUGCCUCCUCCGCAGGCAACUCUUUGGCAAGAAUUGGAAAAAGUAUUAUUAUGAAUAAAAAAAUUGGCAAAAAUGUGAAUAUGAUCCCUAACAAUCCCUAACUUUAAAUUCGCUGUUAUUCAUAAUAUUUUUGCCAAAGAGUUGCCUGCGGAGGAGGCUAUA
rnacentral:miRNA from 1 species